GACGAACGCUGGCGGCGUGCCUAAUACAUGCAAGUAGAACGCACAGUUUAUACCGUAGCUUGCUACACCAUAGACUGUGAGUUGCGAACGGGUGAGUAACGCGUAGGUAACCUGCCUGGUAGCGGGGGAUAACUAUUGGAAACGAUAGCUAAUACCGCAUAAUAUUAAUUAUUGCAUGAUAAUUGAUUGAAAGGUGCAAUUGCACCACUACCAGAUGGACCUGCGUUGUAUUAGCUAGUAGGUGAGGUAACGGCUCACCUAGGCGACGAUACAUAGCCGACCUGAGAGGGUGAUCGGCCACACUGGGACUGAGACACGGCCCAGACUCCUACGGGAGGCAGCAGUAGGGAAUCUUCGGCAAUGGACGAAAGUCUGACCGAGCAACGCCGCGUGAGUGAAGAAGGUUUUCGGAUCGUAAAGCUCUGUUGUAAGAGAAGAACGGGUGUGAGAGUGGAAAGUUCACACUGUGACGGUAUCUACCAGAAAGGACG
rnacentral:rRNA from 1 species